rnacentral:lncRNA from 1 species
GGAAAGGCCAAAUUGUUGCCCAAUAGAGGAUAAAUUCCCUCCGCCAGAAUCAUUUCCUGGUAGAGACACAGAAAUCUCUCGAGGCCAUAUUUUAACACAAAUCAUAAUUUGCAUACUCCCAAGAUGAGUGAGCAGGAGGUCACUUACACCACUGUGAGAUUUCAUAAGUCUCCAGGGUUGCAGAACCAAGUGAGGCCUGAGGAGACUCAAAGGCCCAGGAAAGCUGGCCACAGAGCUCACUCCGAAUGCAAGAGUGUUCGGUCACCUGGAAGCCCAUUGUGAUAGUUCUCGGAAUCCUCUGUUCCCUUCUCCUGGUAACUGUGGCAGUAUUGUUGACACACAUUUUUCAGUCCAGACAAGAGAAACAUGAACAUGAGCAAAGGCUAAAUAACCUCGAUCAACUGUACCAUGUCAUGAAAAAUGACAGCUCCUUAAUGGAAGAAAGAUUAAGAAAUAAGUCUCUAGAGUUUGAGACUUGCAAAAAUACUCUGGACAAUCUCAACAGAGAACAGAACAGAUGCUACAGGGAAAGCAAGAUUGAUUUAAAAUGCUUUAAAUACAAAGGCAAACAAGUAGAAGGACACUGGUUCUGCUGUGGCAUGAAAUGCUAUUAUUUCAUCACUGACAAUGUACAGUGGAAUGGAUGUAAACAGAUCUGCCAGGCUUGCAGCUUAUCUCUUCUGAAGAUAGAUGAUGAGGAUGAAAUGAACUUCCUUAAGUCCCAACUUCAAGGAAAGAGAUACUGGAUUGGAUUGACAUAUAAUAAGAGCCCAAAGAAACAGCAAUGGAUUGGUGACCCACCUAAACUUGAUGUGGCUGGAGUGAAUUUAGGACAUGACAGAGGAAAUUGUGCAUUUCUAAGUUCAUUUCAAAUAGAUAAUGAAGACUGUGCUAAAACCUGUGGCUGUAUAUGUGAAAAGAGAUUGAAUAUAUUCCCUAUUUUAGUGACCUGUGUCAACCAAAGAAAGCAGCUUGAUCUGCAGAGUGAUGAAGGGGAAAGUGAGGAAAUGUAUCUGACUUAACAUAACAGAAGCCAUCGUCCUUUCUGGUAAAUAGAGAAGCUUGUGUCUGGAGAAUAUAUACCCUUUGCUCUAAGAUUCGAAGUAUCACUCUCUGUUUCUCGAAUUAUGCACAGAACCAAAUACAGAACUCUUACAAUCACACACAUUCUUCAUCAUCACUAGGAUAAUCCAUUUCAAUAUCCUGUUGCUCUGACAUCACACUUAAGAAAUAGGAUGCAGUUACUCUUUGUUGGUUGAUAACUUUUUAUGUUUAUGGAGGUAGAAGAAUUAACCUGAAAAUAUUUUUAUUUGCUGUAAAAUAUAAUUUUAGACUUGAUGAAUAGUUACCAGAGUAGUUCAAUGAACCCAUACAACCUAUCAUAGUUCAUGUGUUCUCAUUCUCUCUCUCUCUCUCUCUCUCUCUCUCUCUCUCUCUCUCUUUCUCUCUCUCUCUCUCUCUCUCUCUCUCAUCAAACUGAUGCAUUUGGUAAUAAACAGAAACCCCAUAUUUGCAGUAAUAUUUAUUUAGGCCACCUGAAUGCAAUGGUUCAGACUUAUAAUUUUAUAGGUACAUAAGUUUGAAGACAGUCUUGUCUACAUAAUAUGUUUGUGGCAAUUGUGGGCCUUAGUGUGGUAUUCUGUGUCAUGAAAUCUGAUUAUGAGGAUGAUGAUGAUAUAAUAAUAUUAAACUGUCCAUAAAUAUUUUCUAAAAGCAAGCAAUUUCUUUUAUAGCAUCAUAUUGAAUAGUAAAAUUCAAGGAAUGUGGUAUUUUUGUAAUAAUAUGAUCUAAUUUAUAAUCCAUAUUCAUAUUUGUCAGCUUUCUGAUGUCAUGUUAAUAUUUACUCAUGUUUAAGAUUAUGCCAUGCAUUCACCUGUGGUGUUCUUUAGUUCUGAAAAUGUUAUUGACUUUUGACAUUUUUCUGAUAUUAAAAAAUUAAAAUCUUGCUGGGGGAGUAUGUAUAUAACAAAAUAUACUCAUUGUAAGUCACAAGUAAAACAAGUUUUAACAAAUAUGUAUACCUCUUAUAGAGCCACUGAGCUCAAGAAGGUCACAAUGUCAUCUUAACACAUGCUGGAGUCAUCUGAGAAUAGAGGACAUCCAUUGAUAAAAUGCCCCCAUAUCUUUUGGCUGUAGACAAGCCUACAGGGCAUUUUCUAAAUUAGUUGUUGAUGCGUGUUACAUCAUGGGUGUUACUACCCCUGGGGUGGUAAUGCUAGAUUAUGUAAGAAAGCAGGCACCAAGCCACUUGGAGCUUUCAGAAAGAUGCAGCCAUCUAUAGCCUUUGCAUCAGCUCCUACUUGCACAUUCAUGCAAGGCUUUAGUUUUUGUUCUGUCUCCCUUCAGUGGUAGACUGCAAUGUGGAACUAUAAGCAAAAAGGAUCCCUUUCCUCCUCAAGUUUGUUCUUGUUUUGGUAGUGGUGUUUCAUCACAGCAGUAGAAACACAAACUGUAAGAACAUCAAACCCUAACAGAGUUUUGUAUCUCCUCAAAUUCAUUUCUGCCCAGUGCCUUGAACUUUGGCCCUAGGCAAGCAGGUGUAUAUAUAUGCUCUCUUAUACUGUAAAUUACUAUUGUCUUGUUCAUAGUGUUAAGUAGUAUGCAGAGUUGUAUUUUCUGUUGUCCUCCAUAUACUGAACAUUUAAAACAUACUUUACUUCUCAGAGAAGUUUUGUUUUAUUUUAUGUUGAAUAUAUUUUUACUUGAAAGUAGAUUUUUAAUAUAAUAUUCUUUCUUAUGAAUCUAUUAUUACAUUUGUUUUCAAAUAUCACAAAGGCAGUCCUUCAAUAUGCAUGUAUAGGCUGGCAUGAACACAGAAACAAUGUAAAAGGCUACAGAAAACUUGUUACCAUUUGGUUGGCAACACAAAAACCUUUGACGUAGAGGAGAGAGCUCCAUCAUAUUGAAUUAUUAUGUAUAAAAUGUGAUGAAAUGGAUUCAGCCACAGACUAUCAUCAAGAAACUAAAAGAUCAAUGAUGGCUUAUUACUCACCAAAUGAGAUAUGCUGGUUCUUAAAAAAUAUUAAUGGCCUGGAAUCUAUACUUUAGACCUUAGGGAAGACUUUGAAUACAGAGUUAGCAAAAAGAAUCUGCCCAGGUUUAGCUGCAGAGCUUGUUGAAGGUAUAACUCUUCUAGGUCUCAGUUGGAGUGUUGACUCCCUUCAUUGUAGGGAACCGUAUUGGAUUUGGGCCUGGCCGCUUUUUGACCUCAUGGCUCAAAGUGGCUAGGUGACUCUGGACUGUUUGGCCAUAGAUAUUCACCCCUAAUGAGUCUUAAGAUUAUUGGACAAAAGCCUCUGCCAUGAAUUUAUGGCACAGGAAGAUAACAUUCAAGGGAUGCCUCAGCUCGAGCAGAUACCAGUUAUCUCCUGAGUCAACACCCGGUGUCUCCACCGCCUGACCUCAUCGUCUACUGCUUGACCUCUUUGCCUCCUGCUAUCACUGCCUAUACCUUUGCAUCUCCAUCCUUCGUGUUUCACAAAGGACACUCCCCCUACCUGAAAGCCUUAAAAGCUGUAACGUUCACCCCAAUAAACGAGACCUUGACAACA